rnacentral:rRNA from 1 species
AACGCUGACAGAAUGUUACACAUGCAAGUCAACUUGAAUUUGGGUUUUUAACUUAGGUUUGGGUGGCGGACGGGUGAGUAACGCGUAAAGAACUUGCCUCACAGCUAGGGACAACAUUUGGAAACGAAUGCUAAUACCUAAUAUUAUGAUAAUAGGGCAUCCUAUAAUUAUGAAAGCUAUAAGCGCUGUGAGAGAGCUUUGCGUCCCAUUAGCUAGUUGGAGAGGUAACGGCUCACCAAGGCGAUGAUGGGUAGCCGGCCUGAGAGGGUGAUCGGCCACAAGGGGACUGAGACACGGCCCUUACUCCUACGGGAGGCAGCAGUGGGGAAUAUUGGACAAUGGACCAAGAGUCUGAUCCAGCAAUUCUGUGUGCACGAUGAAGUUUUUCGGAAUGUAAAGUGCUUUCAGUUGGGAAGAAAGAAAUGACGGUACCAACAGAAGAAGUGACGGCUAAAUACGUGCCAGCAGCCGCGGUAAUACGUAUGUCACGAGCGUUAUCCGGAUUUAUUGGGCGUAAAGCGCGUCUAGGUGGUUAUGUAAGUCUGAUGUGAAAAUGCAGGGCUCAACUCUGUAUUGCGUUGGAAACUGUAUAACUAGAGUACUGGAGAGGUAAGCGGAACUACAAGUGUAGAGGUGAAAUUCGUAGAUAUUUGUAGGAAUGCCGAUGGGGAAGCCAGCUUACUGGACAGAUACUGACGCUGAAGCGCGAAAGCGUGGGUAGCAAACAGGAUUAGAUACCCUGGUAGUCCACGCCGUAAACGAUGAUUACUAGGUGUUGGGGGUCGAACCUCAGCGCCCAAGCAAACGCGAUAAGUAA